GCCGCCGGUGAUUUCGCGCACUCUGCUUGCUGCAGCUCCCGGGAAAGCCAACCCUCUCCGUUCCAGGCGGGAGAGGAGCUUUCCCCUGGAUCGAGGACCACCUCCGAGAUUCUCGCUGCCAAGAAUCUUGGGUUUCGCCGAACUCAUGGGCACCAAAUGGCAUAGGUACAACUUUGAAGGCCAUGGGGACUGUGGGCCCAUCAUUUCAGCUCCAGCCCAGGAUGAUCCCAUCCUGCUCAGCUUCAUCCCCUGCCUGCAGGCCAACCUGCUGUGCGUGUGGCACUGGGACAUCAAACCCGACUGCGAGGAGCUCUGGAUAUUCUGGUGGGGGGACGAGCCCAACCUGGUCAGUGUCAUCCACCGCAAGCUGCACAUUCCUAGGGCAUGCCUGGCUGAACCUCAUCAAGAAUUACAAUUUUAUCAGGCUGAGAUAAAGCUCAGUGGAAAUGCAGCCCUCGGUGAGCGUGGCAGGGAGCUCCAGGACAGGACACCUGGGCACCGGACCAUGAAAGCCUGAGAGGGAACAGCCAGCAAAUUACUGUCUCUGCAGGAAGUCUGGAAUGUUUCAUUCUAUUUCUUUCACAUAUUAAUGUUGCAUUGACAGCUGCUCAAGCUUAAAACAUCUUUAACUGAAAGGUUAAACGAGAGACAUGGGAAGAUCCCAAAGAAAAGGUUCAUCUCUCUUUAUAGUCAUGUCAUAUGGGUUUGUGUUACCCAGUGGCAAGUCUUUCUAGAUGCAAUUUAUUCACAGUGAGUACUUGAAGCUUCUUGUAUCCCUUACUUCCUUUUAUUUGUGCAAGGCUGUUCAAUACAACAUCUGCAUCCAUGCUUCCUAAUAGCUUCAUCUGUGGAUCUCUGUAAGUGGGUUUUUUUGCAUUGUAAGAUGUACACAAAAGGUUUGUUGUUGAUUACACAUAUAAUUUCUUACAAGUCAACACUGCUGUUGUAAAGAGGUUCUAUAGCAAAACAUAUUUUGAACUGUUUUUUUCAGGCACCAACUUUCCUUUCAGUUUAAGACAUGGUUUUAAUUAUAAAUAAAAUUAAAUUAAAUUUUGAUUAUAAUGUAUAAAAUAUUUGGUUUUUUUCUUAAAAAAACACCCAAACAACAACAAAGGAAAAGCAUACACAAUCCUUUAGCUUUAAUGAAUAACUGAAUAAUAUGGGUCAGGAGAGGAGCUUCAUGAAAUACAUAUUAUAGAAAAAUGACUUGCUCUCCCAUCCAGCGUCAGAGCAGCCAUCUGAGAUAAUUCCUUUAUUUUUUUUGGCCAUGCAAAACUAUAAAAGCUAAAGAAAACUGCAAAAUAAAGGAAAAUCCAACACAAAUAAUGUUUUAGAGAAAGCCAGAGUUAAUACUUUUUCAAAAUAUCACCCAUUUUCCAGGAAGACCCAAUAAACUGGUGUUUUUUAAGCCCAGACAGCCAGUUUUGGUGAGACAGCUAUGAGAAGUGCCUGGAAUCCCACACUCAAGGUGCAGUUCUGUGGGAAAUGGAUUUGUAAAGAAUUCUCAAAACCUGAUAGAAAGUUCACAUAGUCUUGUACAUCUGUAUGUAAACACUGAGAUAAGGUGUGUUGAUUUAGGAAGGCUCUAGAAUAGAGAUGACAUUGUUGAGAGAGAGACUGAACAAGAAAUAACUUUUAAUAAGUUUCAUAAGUUUAAUAAGUUUCAAAAUAUGCCCUUGUGAAAAGACUAGAUAUUUUAGAGAAUUAGAACUGUGAAAGAUGGAUUGUAGUAGGAUCACCUGAGGUAAAAAUAUAGGUGAUUGGUGUUAGAAGCAUUGUGUUGUAAAAGCUAAUAGGCUGAAAAGUGUUUACAAGCAUUUUAAUUGAUGAAAUACGGCUUCCUAAGUCAUCACACCUUAACUCAGUGUUUGCACAGAGAUGUACAAGACUGUGCGAGCUUUCUGCCAGGUUUUGAGAAUUCUUUACGAAUCCACUUCCCACACAGUUCCUGUCUUGUUUUUGCAGUGGAGCAACAGAUAAGCCGGGGCUUAGAUCUGACCUAAAGCUUGGGCUUAGGCUGACCUAGGUGAGGUGUGAGGGCAAAGGGAGAUGAGAGGUGGCCUGGCUGGAAAAGAACACUGGUACACACAGCAUGGAGCCAAGCAUGGCUGUGGGCAAGGUCAGAAGGGAAAAGAAAUAAAAAUAAUUACCAGCAGAAAUGUGAUGGGACGGGAGAGAAAAAAACUUCAGGUUUUUGGCAAUUCCGGUGCCUGAGGGUGAAGCUGUCAGUGCACCUCAAGAUCUGUGCACAGCCAGGACAGAGCUGCUUUGAGUUUCAGCUGUGAAAUACUGUGUGGUGUGCCAGAGUUAACUGGGGAACGGAGGGACAAGGAUUUCAGGGAACAAGUACCUGCUCUUUAGGGAGAAGAGCUGAGAGACUGCACCUUAAACUUCAUUUCUCCUUAGUGUGUGUGCAGGGUGAUGUGCUGUUCUGUGCACAUCUGUGCUGUUCUGUCUUACGGGAACUAAUACCAUGCUUGCUGUCAGUUUGGAGAUUUCAUACUGUUCCACCCCCACCCGUCAGAACAUUUCAUUACAUCUCUCAGGCAAUAGAAAGGACUUUUUGAUUAUUAGGUAAGUCAUUAUAUUAUUAGAUAUGUUUUUGAAUAUAUGGGCAGAGCUGUCAUUUUAUAAGUCUGUCAGAUGGCAGAAAACAACAGAGAAUAAGGGGAAAAACAUCAAUUCCUACCUCCAUAUAGCUCAUAUUGCUAAACUAGUUACCCCCCACUUGUAACUGGGAAUUUAGAAGUGUGAGUAUUGCUAAAAAAAGCCUUGGCACUGCUUACAGCAAACUUCAGGGGCCAUUUGAAAGCUGUGGGCAAUCCAGGACAUCCUACACUGGAAAUUUGGACAGAUAUCCCAAAAAGCCUUGGGCUUAACACCAAGUUCUGCAUUUCCAGUCUGCACUCACUGCUGGAAAAUGGAUAUUUGCAGAGCCUGAGCUACAGUGUCUUUGUAAGUUAAGCAAUAAAUAAAAAUUUAAUUCAUAAUCUUGGUGUAUUCUUCAACUCAGAAUUAAAAUUUUCAUGUCUUUUCCACUUGUAGAUCUACUUCUACCACAGUCAGUGAUGUUAUAUCACUGCAGAAAGACAUCUCUUACCAUUGUAUUUUACAAGGCAACUGAGUGCCAGUGUCACUAUGCAGAGUCCCUUGGCAAUUGUAGAGACAUCUCCUCCAGAAUAUGGAAAUAUUCACUUGUGCAUGUGCAUUUUCCUGGAAGCUUAUCCCCUAGAACUUUUAAAUUAAUGCUCUAUUCUGAUCACCAGGUGUGCAAUUUGGCAAUGUCCUGUUGUAUACAUUGAGUGUGAAGGCACACAAGAGAAAAUGUGACUCCCCAUCCUGUGAAGAAGUUUUCUGUAUGUGAGAUAUUAGGACCUGAGUUAGUUUACACUGACUCAGGGGCAGAACAGAAUCCUGUCAGAAGGUGACACAGAAUGGAUUCUGCAGGGUAAAGCCAUUUCCAAAAGAUCUGCUCCACAUCUUCUCCAUACUAAGACUCUGACAGCCGUACAUUGCAACACAUCUCUCACCACAAGAAGCACUAUUUCAUUCCAGAAACAUUCCAUCCCGCACUAAAGGAUGGCACUGAGAAACUUCACUGACUGUCCAUCUAAAUUUCUCUUCUUAUUCCACUGUUUUACAUGAUGGUUUUGGUCUCCUUAAUGCCAUCUCACAGAUUUAGACAAGAAUUCUUUUACUCACUAAGAAGUCAAAUAAGGGGCUAAUUUUUUGCAGGCAGUGCAAAAACAUACACUGGAAACAUACACUGCACCAGAUAUUCCUAUCAAAAGCAGAUAAACAUGAAUAGAUCCUAGAUCAAACAAGGGAUUCAGGGUACUUGCGGUUCAGUUGUUUUGGUUUAACUAUCAGCUUGUCUACAGGAACAAAUCAGCUGUGAAUACUAAAAGUUCUUAGCAGAGACUUUUUUUCUGGGCCUGUGCAAUGCUCUAAAUUUAUUUUUGUCCCUUACCACAAUAUUUCCUGUAAGUUGACCAGACUGUAUCACAGAAACUCCAGGCAGAAAAUUGAUGAACAUCAAAAAUCCAUGGCUAAAGCCUCUCCCUCAGCUCUGGAGCCACCACACAUGCUGUUGAUACAGCCUUUUGUAAGGAAGGGGCAUGGUACCACCACAGUGAUGUUUCCAUAACCAAGGUGCAGAUGUGAGAUGAAUGGCCAGGAUGAAUCCCAAGAUGAAGGAGUGCCUCAAGAGUAAAGUAAACUGCAAAUCACCAGGAAAAGAAAGAAAAAAUACCCAGGUAUGUUCAUGCACAGGCACGCACACUGAUAUUUCUCAAGGGGGACUGGUUUGAUAAAAAUUAUGACCUUUUUUCCUCUACCCUGUUUUAUUUUCCAGUACUAAAAAUAUUGCAAGUGCCUGAGGCGUAAGUCAGAGCAAGCCUCCAUUAUCACUGCAGAGACUUGGCAACUUUGCUCAUUAGGCUUCCUAGGAUCUGACUGAGUGACCUUGUUUGGUGGGAAGGCACAGAUGGAGUCUGUCAGUAAAUCUUGUUCAUGUAGCAAGUAUUCCUGCUGCUAGAUGAGGUUUGCACCUCGUACGAGUGUUUCUAGCCCCAGUAAACAACCACUGUUCCCUCCUCCCAAUGUCAGCCCCUUAUUUCAUCCACCAGGUACUCCAGCACUUCUUUUUACUGUCAAUUACCAAAAAGAAAGAGAACAUCUCGCUGUGAGUGUAGGAUGAUCUUUCUCUCAAAGGCAGUUGUGCACCUCACUUCUAGAGAACCUGAUGUUUGCUUUUACAUUUGGUUGUUACCUGAUAGACCCUAAGGCUUUCUUCUGCUGUGAGUCUGUUCCUGAGCUUGAGAAAUAAUUCUAUGAUAGGAGUGCAGUUUUUUACUAAAGUCAUACUCACACCGUUGUACUAUACAAUAUAAAUAACUAAUAUAUAAGUAAUAAAUAAAAGGUUUAUCUAUGAGCCAAUUUUAAGUGGUUUAAAAUUUCAGGAUGUAGCCUAUUUAGUUUCAGUGAGAAAAUAAAAAGCUGCUUUUAAAGUUCAUUCAGCUUCUAAAGGGCAAUGCUAAAAAUGUGACACCACCUUGGUUCAGUGAAUGCCUUUGGGUAAAAGAAGAGGGAUACAAGAGUAACUGAAAUAUUUAAGUAAAAUUCAGUGUUGUGACCCUGAACACCAGGACAAAAUUCACAUUGUAUAAGCCAUAUUUCUAAGUGCAAUAAACCAUAUCUAUAAGUGA